rnacentral:antisense_RNA from 1 species
AAAGAUCGCAGCCUGCGGCAGCUCCUACAGGGGACUGCAUUCCCAAAUGUAGGAGCUGCCGCAGGCUGCGAUCUUU